GUUUACCUUAAUGGUAAACUUCAUUGGAUUAGAACAAUAUGUGGACACAACAUAGAUGUGAUUUGUACCUUUAAUAUGGGCUCUGAAUUAGUGGAAGAGUACAUAAGUACAUGGCGUGGUUUUGUUCUGGUGGUUUUGAAUCCUCAUACAAAACCAAUGAGCAGCUUCAAUUUACAAGAAAUAUGGAAGUAUAUUUAUGUAAUCUAGCAUAUUUAUGGUAUAAUCAACAUAUGAGUUCACUAGACUCAAGUUCCUCACCGAUGUCGUCCAUUUCCUCGUCCAGCUUCUUUCAUUAUGUUUGACGAGUGAUAGGUUUCAGACAGGAGAACCGUCGUUUUUGUGAUUAAUGGCAACAUUCCAAUUUUCUAUAAAGGCGAUUAUUACAACAUCCCAUUACAAAUAUGAAUUUUAUUGGGUUAUGUUACAAACUCCUCGAAGGCAGGCAUUGUGAUCAAUGACCAAGAGAGAAUGUCGAUCAAGUUACAUCAUCCGUAUGUCGACACUAGAGUUGGUGUCUCAUACAAGAGAGGCAGGAACACGAGAUAUGAAAGAGGGAUGAGGAUGAGAGCCGAUUGAGGUUGGGUUUGUGGUCUUCUUUCAUUGUAUUUUGUUGUAUACUUUAUAUGUUGUUUUCGUUAAGGAAUUCGUUGUUUCCUCUUAUACUUGCAAUUUUAG
rnacentral:lncRNA from 1 species